GAUCAUGGCUCAGGAUGAACGCUAGCUACAGGCUUAACACAUGCAAGUCGAGGGGCAUCAGGAAGAAAGCUUGCUUUCUUUGCUGGCGACCGGCGCACGGGUGAGUAACACGUAUCCAACCUGCCCUUUACUCGGGGAUAGCCUUUCGAAAGAAAGAUUAAUACCCGAUGGCAUAAUGAUUCCGCAUGGUUUCAUUAUUAAAGGAUUCCGGUAAAGGAUGGGGAUGCGUUCCAUUAGGUUGUUGGUUGUAGGG
rnacentral:rRNA from 1 species